UUCACCAAUUGGAUGUGGUGGAAGGAAGAACUCACGUGACACCGUGAAGGGUUCGGUGACUGAGAGACGGUGAAAACAGAAAUGAGAGUAAAAAAAUCCUCCAUCUCUGUCGAAAAAAGCGGACGAGGAAAGGUGAUAAGAAAUGGCAGCGGAAGAUUACGAGCAACUAAGCAAUAACGGCGACAACGACAGGAUCUCGGAAUCGCCGUACUGCUCUCAACUCCACUUAAAUUUCCAUUAGCUGAAUGUCGCAGAACCAAUGUCUAUGCAAUUCUUGGCCGAUCGCCAUUCUCCUCUAAAUCCGAUAUUAAAGUUGUCUAUAAACGCCUUGCUUUGAAGUAUCAUUUUCCUGGGCGAGAUAAACCUUUUAGAAAGAUUAAAUUGGCAUACGAGCCUAAUGCUAAAGUUUGAAGAACAAGAGCUCCAACCAGCAAAGGAUUAUGAUGAAUGGGGGAUGGGAUUUGAAGACAUGUGAAAUGGGCACUUAACCCUUGUUAUUUGCAUUAAUGAAAGCUACAAUGAAAGGAAAGCAAUCACACAACAACAUCAACCAUUUAAGUCUUAAUUAUUAGUAGUACUGUGAAGGAGGCUAAGAGACAGCAGCCAUGAAUUCUUUAUCAGAUUCAAGAGCAGUCAUCGAAUCUGGGAGAAGGCACACCUCCAAAUCCACACUUCCACCACCUUCACGUCCUGGGUAGGCUGACACCUUGCCACAGAAUUUAUGUGCAUACCCACUACGAAGAGUCAAAGCUUUACCCAAUCCCAAUUCACAGCCAUACUUAUUGAAACGUGGAGAACUUCCGAAGUGCACACCAUAAAGACCAAAAAACUGGCCAAGAUGAUAAAUAAUGGGCGAUUUAAUCCACGAAUCAAUCCGGUCACGAAACUUUUUAUCUGUUUGAUUAAUCACAGCUUGGUGCAGCAGCCAAGCUGCCCAUCCAAGAUUCUGCUCUAGCAGUUCACCUCCUGUGGUAGAAGCUGAAACUGCAUCAACAAAGUUACCAAAGUAGUUUGGUGAUAAAGGUGGGCUCAAUCUUGAUCUGUUAUUGCAUGCUAAGCUGCAAUGAGUUACUUGAUCAUGAGGUAUAUGACGUGCACGGGUUAUGCAUCUCCACAUAAAUGCAGAUAAAGACUGGAAGGAGGAAAUCUUGUCCCAGGGGUGCCUCAAAUGGGACUAAGAACUGCUCGUGGUGAGUAAAAGGAAGAUUGAUUAUAGGACCACAAUUGUCAGGAAACCAGCGCUUCAAAACUGGUGGCUGCGAGAUUGGAACAUGAUCAUCUCUCU